GUUGACUUUACUAUUGUAUGUGUAGCGGGUACGAUGGGGGAAAUGGGGAAUGCAGCUUGAUGCCCUGCUUUCAGGUGCUAAUUGAUUAGACCAGGUGGUAUAGCGCUUAAAUUAGCCAGCUGACAAGAGGACAUGAGAGCGGUCUGUUUGAAACGGUGAAUCAGGAAGUUGGUGUGUCGGUGGUGCAUAGCGGAGAUUCUCAGCCUGGGGCGCGUGACUAUGAACCUCAAACGGUGCAUGCUGCACAGAAACUUCGCUACAAUAGAGAGUACACAGCGACUAGUACAUCCACACUGGUUUUAAGAAUACAGAAGCUACGCCGACAUCGGAGAGUGUAUACAGCUUGUUUACUAUCCAUACUGGUUCAGUCACGUUAAAACUAAAGCGAGUGCAUACAGCUUGUAUCUCAUCCACACUGUUUUUAAGAAUGAGGACUGCCUUCGUCGGUUCAGCCAGCCACUGUUUUUCCUGAGCUUGUAACUGUUUCAUUGUUUACUUGUGUGUGUUGUGUAACCUAUGUGACGGAAUCUAGCCUGUCUGCGUCACGACUGUCUUGUGCUGCGCCAUCAGUGGAGGCCAGCCUAUCAUAGUUUUACCGUCUAUAAUAUCCGCUUGUCUCUCUGUGUGUGUCUGUUUAAUGUCUGUCUGUAUUUGUUCUCAUGUUGUCUUGGCUUAGGGCAGUGUGCAAGAGUCCCUAUAUAAACAGUAAUUUGUUUGCAGUGUCUAUUUGAGUGUGGUGUCUGAAACCCAGUGUAACCUUAUCAGUGUAUGUUUGUGCACUGUCCAUAUAGUGUGAAGUGUUGUGGUGUAUUCACUCAUUCUUCGAGAUUGUGUGCUGUAAUUUAUGCGGAACAUUGUUCCU